UUAGGAAUUUUGCGCAAUGGACGAAAGUCUGACGCAGCGACAUCGCGUGUAGGAUGAAGGCCCUCGGGUCGUAAACUACUUUUAUAACAACAUGAAGUUGUUUUGAAUAAGCAACUACUAACUACGUGCCAGCAGUCGCGGUAAUACGUAGGUUGCAAGCGUUACCCGGUUUUAUUGGGCGUAAAGGGUCUGUAGGCGGUUUUUUAAGUCUUAUUUCAAAGACUUCGGCUCAACCGGAGAAAGGGGUAGGAUACCUGGAAGACUAGAGUUAUAUCGGGGGUUACUGGAAUUUGUAGUGUAGGGGGUUAAAUCCGUGGAUACUACAAGACACCAAGCGCGAAGGCGGGUAACCAGGUAUUUACUGACGCUCAGAGACGAAAGCUAGGGUAUCGAAUCAGAUUAGAGACCUGAGUAGUCCUAGCCGUAAACAUUGUCCGUUAAUUCUUCCUUGCUUUGCAGGGGGGGAUGGCAAGCUAACGCAUUAACGGACCGCCUGGGGAGUAUAGCCGCAAGGCCGAAACUCAAAUGAAUUGAC
rnacentral:rRNA from 1 species